UGCUUUUCUGAUGACGAGUGGCGCACGGGUGCGUAACGCGUAUGCAAUCUACCUUGUACUGGAGUAUAGCCCAGGGAAACUUGGAUUAAUCCUCCAUAGUCUAUAUUAAUGGCAUCAUUUUAUAUAGUAAAGGUUACGGUACAAGAUGAGCAUGCGUCCUAUUAGCUAGUAGGUGUGGUAACGGCACACCUAGGCAACGAUAGGUAGGGGUCCUGAGAGGGAGAUCCCCCACACUGGUACUGAGACACGGACCAGACUCCUACGGGAGGCAGCAGUGAGGAAUAUUGGACAAUGGGCGCAAGCCUGAUCCAGCCAUGCCGCGUGCAGGAAGACUGCCCUAUGGGUUGUAAACUGCUUUUAUACGGGAAGAAUAAGUGUUACGUGUAGCACGAUGACGGUACCGUAAGAAUAAGCACCGGCUAACUCCGUGCCAGCAGCCGCGGUAAUACGGAGGGUGCAAGCGUUAUCCGGAAUCAUUGGGUUUAAAGGGUCCGUAGGUGGACUAAUAAGUCAGUGGUGAAAGUCUGCAGCUUAACUGUAGAAUUGCCAUUGAUACUGUUAGUCUUGAAUUGUUGUGAAGUAACUAGAAUAUGUAGUGUAGCGGUGAAAU
rnacentral:rRNA from 1 species